GAUGAACGCUGGCGGCGCGCUUAAGACAUGCAAGUCGAACGGAACUUAGUUGAAUGUUUACAUGAGACGAAAGUUUAGUGGCGGACGGGUGAGUAACACGUGAGCAACCUGCCUUCGAGAGUGGGACAACAGAGGGAAACUUCUGCUAAUACCACAUAUGACCACAGUACCGCAUGGUACAGGGGUGAAAGGAGCAAUCCACUCGAAGAUUUAUUGCAUACAGAUGGAUUCGCGUCCGAUUAGAUAGUUGGUGAGGUAACGGCCCACCAAGUCGACGAUCGGUAGCCGGACUGAGAGGUUGAACGGCCACAUUGGAACUGAGAAACGGUCCAGACUCCUACGGGAGGCAGCAGUGGGGAAUAUUGGGCAAUGGGCGAAGCCUGACCCAGCGACGCCGCGUGA
rnacentral:rRNA from 1 species